AACGCUGUAACUCAGCUGGGAGAGUGACGGGCUCAUAUUCUGACACCCGUAUGUCCCUGGAUCGAAACCAGGCGGCGUUA